UGGCAAUGUGCUUAGGCCUCAAGGCUUUCCUCGGGGUGUCCUGGAAGGUUAGUGUGAUAUUUUGGUGGAACUCGUGGAGACUAAAAGAUUGGAGCUGGUUGGAAGAAGUCAGCCACUGUCAGAAGAGCCCACUCUGUGUGCUUGGCUGCCAGUGUACAAAUCUCAGGAUUUGAAAUGCCACACAUUUUUCCUCUUGCCCCACAUGCAGCCUUGGAGACCUUCACAGGAAAGAGCAUAUGCUCCUCUUAGGAGACAGGAGUGUCUUGUUUUCCACCUGAGGAGGUGGUUCUUCCUUUUUGAAUCUGAGCAGAAGACAAGUCCUUUCUCUGACUCCAGCAUGGGUAGAGGGGAACCUGGCACCUCAUCUGAAGCUGCAAAAUGUGAAUGUACCCAGCCUGCCAUUUUUAACAACUCAGACACCAGAAAUUAAUUGGAUACACUUUUUUUUUCUUCUUCCAAAUUCUGAGAUUCCUUUGAAGUUCAGUGUGGGGAGAGGAGGGGAGCAAGACAGUGACACAGAACUGAUGACAGCUUCCUUUCUCACGUGCCUUGCCUUCUCAGUG